GUAGUCCACACUGUAAACGAUGAAUGCUAGGUGUAGGGGGUAUCGACCCGCUCUGUGCCGGAGUAAACACAAUAAGCAUUCCGCUCGGCGAGUACGGUCGCAAGGUUGAAACUCAAAGGAAUUGACGGGGGCCCGCACAAGCAGCGGAGCAUGUGGUUUAAUUUGAAGCAACGCGAAGAACCUUACCAGGUCUUGACAUCCAAUAAAACUUGUAGAGAUACAAGGUGGACUUUGGUUUGUAUUGAGACAGGUGGCGCAUGGUUGUUGUCAGUUCGUGUCGUGAGAUGUUGGGUUAAGUCCCGCAACGAGCGCAACCCUUGUGAUCAGUUACUAGCGGGUAAAGCCGAGGACUCUGAUAAGACUGCCGGGGACAAAUCGGAGGAAGGUGGGGACGACGUCAAAUCAUCAUGCCCCUUAUGACUUGGGCUACACACGUGCUACAAUGGCCAAUACAGAGAGAAGCGAGACCGAGAGGUGGAGCAGAUCUCAAAAAAGUGGUCCCAGUUCGGAUUGUGGGCUGCAACCCGCCCACAUGAAGUCGGAGUUGCUAGUAAUCGCGGAUCAGCAUGCCGCGGUGAAUACGUUCCCGGGCCUUGUACACACCGCCCGUCACACCAUGGGAGUUGGGAGUGCCCAAAGCCGGCGAGGUAACCGCAAGGAGCCAGCAGUCUAAGGCAAGACCAAUGAUUGGGGUG
rnacentral:rRNA from 1 species